rnacentral:tRNA from 1 species
GCCCAGGUGGCGGAAUUGGUAGACGCGCAAGCUUCAGGUGCUUGUGUCCUUAAGGGCGUGGAGGUUCGAGUCCUCUUCUGGGCACCA